rnacentral:misc_RNA from 1 species
GGGAGACAUUGUGUGGUGCCCAUGGCUAUCUAUGUGAAUGUGAUAAAACACCCUGUAACAAUUAAGAAAUUGGAGAAAUCCAGGAGAGUGAGGAUUUGAUUCUUGAAGGAUUUGAUUCUUGAUAUUGCAUGCUAACAUUAAGAAUAACAUGGGGAAGGAUGAAGGAGAAAGAAGAUGAAGAAGCUGUGUGUGCUGUUGAAAGUGGAGGAGAAAG